rnacentral:SRP_RNA from 2 species
UUUGAUGAGGGCAAAAUUAUUUGCUAACUUGGUCAGGUCUGAAAAGAAGCAGCCAUAGCUUAGAUUUUUGGGUCUCAUUUUGCUU